rnacentral:rRNA from 1 species
GAUGAACGCUGGCGGCGUGCUUAACACAUGCAAGUCGAACGGACCAUAUUCGUAUGGUUAGUGGCAGACGGGUGCGUAACACGUGGGUGACCUGCCCUCAAGUGGGGAACAACUCCGCUAACGCGGAGCUAAUACCGCAUAUGUUCGCUUUUUCAGUAAGGCGAGUAAAGCAGUAAUGCGCUUGGGGAUGGGCCUGCGGCGGAUUAGCUAGUUGGUGGGGUAACGGCCUACCAAGGCGAUGAUCCGUAGGGGGCGUGAGAGCGUGGCCCCCCACACUGGCACUGAGACACGGGCCAGACUCCUACGGGAGGCAGCAGUGAGGAAUAUUGCACAAUGGGCGAAAGCCUGAUGCAGCAACGCCGCGUGAGGGACGAAGGCCUUCGGGUCGUAAACCUCUUUUCUGGGGGACGAGUAAGGACGGUACCUCAGGAAUAAGUCUCGGCUAACUACGUGCCAGCAGCCGCGGUAAAACGUAGGAGGCGAGCGUUAUCCGGAUUUACUGGGCGUAAAGCGUACGCAGGUGGCUUCGUGAGUCGGACAUGAAAGCUCCCGGCUUAACUGGGAGAGGUUGUUCGAUACUGCGGAGCUUGAGGUUGGGAGAGGGACGUGGAAUUCCCGGUGUAGUGGUGGAAUGCGUAGAUAUCGGGAGGAACACCAGUGGCGCAAGCGGCGUCCUGGCCCACACCUGACGCUGAGGUACGAAAGCGUGGGUAGCAAACAGGAUUAGAUACCCUGGUAGUCCACGCUGUAAACGAUGUCAACUGGGUGUCGGUAGUUUUACACUAUCGGUGCCGAAGCCAACGCGUUAAGUUGACCGCCUGGGGACUACGGCCGCAAGGCUA